rnacentral:rRNA from 1 species
AUUGAACGCUGGCGGCAGGCCUAACACAUGCAAGUCGAGCGAGCGGUGGACGGGUGAGUAAUGAAUGGGGAAUGCCCGAUAGAGGGGGAAAACUACUGGAAACGGUGGCUAAUACCGCAUACUAUCGGAGAACCCAUACGGGAUGAGCUAGUAGGUAAGGUAAUGGCUUACCUAGGCGACGAUCCCUAGCUGGUCUGAGAGGAUGACCAGCCACAAGCGGACGGAGACACGGCCCAGAAUCCUACGGAGGGAGCGGUGGGGAAUAUUGACCAAUGGGCGCAAGCCUGAUGCAGCCAUGCCGCGUGUAUGAAGAAGGCCCUAGGGUUGUAAAGUACUUUCAGUCGGGAGGCGUUACCGACAGAAGAAGCACCGGCUAACUCCGUGCCAGCAGCCGCGGUAAUAC